rnacentral:misc_RNA from 1 species
UCUCCGUUGGUGAACCAGCGGAGGGAUCAUUACAGAGUUUAUUAUAACUCCUAAACCCAUGUGAACCUACCUUCUGUUGCCUCGGCAGGCAAGUCGUAUCUUGCUACCCUAUAGGACCCUAUCUUGUAAGACGUUACCUUAUAAGGUCCUAUCCGGUAGAGAGAUGCGGUACUACCUGCCGGUGAACUGAAAAAAAAAUUCUGUUUAAUAAAUGGUAUUCUGAAUCAUUAUAUGGAAAUUAAGUUAAAACUUUCAACAACGGAUCUCUUGGUUCUG